AAGAAAAAAAAUGGAAAUUAAGUGUAAAUAUAAAUAUAUAUAUUUAUAUAUUAAAUAGUUUUAUUAAAUUAAUUAAAGAAAAGAAAGAAAAGAAAGGACAAAAAGAAGAAAAGGAGAAGAAAAUUUCAUUUUCUCUUUUCUUCUUCUUCUUCUUCUCUUCCCUUCACCGCCAAGUUUGAAGACAUCCAAGUUUCCUUUAUUUUUUUUUUCUUUUUCCUUCUUCAAUUUGCAGAGAACUUCUAAGAGAGAGUUUGGAAGAAGAAGAGAAAUUUUACUAGAAUUUUUAGGUUGAAGAAGAGAAGGAGAACUCAAGCAAAGUGUAUCAAUGGCUCAAUUUUAGUUCAUUCUGCACAUCACUGGUUUUUAAUUCGGUUUGAACUCUUCAAAAGGAAUUAAGAGGUGAGAUUUACAUUUACUGAAAGUUAACUCAUUUUUAAACAAACUUUAUGAAGAACGUUGGAGCAAAUUCGGAUUUUCAUUUGGUGCUUUUUGAUGAAGAAAACAGGGCAGUUGGUUUUCACUUGAAAUCAGAAGGUCUCUGUUUUUUCUUGUAUUUCAGAGUGUAUCGGUGGAGUUAGAAUUUCUAUUUGGAACAAGUUAAAGAGGUCGUGUGCGCGCGAUUCUGGAAGUGGUUCUGUUUUGAGGGUUAUAUGUGUUUAUGCACGGGGAAUCAGAUUUAUAUGUCUUCAGGCCGAGAAGAAUUAAACCGAGCUUAUAGACCAAGGAUCUAGCCCAAGACAGUAGAGAUCGACUUCCCGGUGCCUGAUAGACUGCCUUAGUCUGCGGAAGCUUCAUUAUCGAUUGCCAGUACGUGUUUUGAGUUGGGCAUAAAGUCUGUUGUGUUGUGAUGUAUUCAUACCCUUGUAUGUUAUAGAUACUCCACAGUUUGUAUAAGCUUUAGGAGCUGUAGUUGUGUAAAUUUUGUUGGUUAUAUUUUGAUUAAGGUGUCUUUAGGUUUACUCGUGAAAUUGGUAAAUUUUGAGGUACACUUCAUGUA